rnacentral:rRNA from 1 species
UACGAAGGGUGCAAACGUUGCUCGGAAUUAUUGGGCGUAAAGCGCACGUAGGCGGCUUAGCAAGUCCCAUGUGAAAGCCCACGGCUUAACCGUGGAAGUGCAUGGGAAACUGCUGAGCUUGAGUACUUAAGAGGAUCGCGGAAUUCCCGGUGUAGAGGUGAAAUUCGUAGAUAUCGGGAGGAACACCAAUUGCGAAGGCAGCUCGCUGGGACGUUACUGACGCUGAGACGCGAAAAGCGUGGGGAGCAAACAGG